rnacentral:rRNA from 1 species
UACGGAGGGUGCGAGCGUUGUCCGGAAUCAUUGGGCGUAAAGGGCGCGUAGGUGGCCCGGUCAGUUCGUGGUGAAAGCGCGGGGCUCAACCCUGCGUCGGCCAUGAAUACUGCCGCGGCUGGAGCACUGUAGAGGCAGGCGGAAUUCCGGGUGUAGCGGUGGAAUGCGUAGAGAUCCGGAAGAACACCGGUGGCGAAGGCGGCCUGCUGGGCUAACACUGACGCUCAUGCACGAAAGCGUGGGGAGCAAACAGG